rnacentral:rRNA from 1 species
CCUACGGGGGGCAGCAGUGAGGAAUAUUGGUCAAUGGCCGGGAGGCUGAACCAGCCAAGUCGCGUGAGGGAAGACGGCCCUACGGGUUGUAAACCUCUUUUGUCAGGGAGCAAGGUGCAGGUCGGGACCUGCUGUGAGAGUACCUGAAGAAAAAGCAUCGGCUAACUCCGUGCCAGCAGCCGCGGUAAUACGGAGGAUGCGAGCGUUAUCCGGAUUUAUUGGGUUUAAAGGGUGCGCAGGCGGAGGCACAAGUCAGCGGUAAAAUCGCGGGGCUCAACCCCGCUCCGCAGUUGAAACUGGCAGUCUUGAGUACAGUAGAGGUGGGCGGAAUUCGUGGUGUAGCGGUGAAAUGCUUAGAUAUCACGAAGAACUCCGAUUGCGAAGGCAGCUCACUGGACUGCAACUGACACUGAGGCUCGAAAGUGUGGGUAUCAAACAGGAUUAGAUACCCUUGUAGUC